UACAGAGGUCUCAAGCGUUGUUCGGAUUCAUUGGGCGUAAAGGGUGCGUAGGUGGUGCUGUAAGUCAGGUGUGAAAUCUCGGGGCUCAACCCCGAAACUGCACUUGAUACUGCGGUGCUCGAGGACUGGAGAGGAGAUCGGAAUUCAUGGUGUAGCAGUGAAAUGCGUAGAUAUCAUGAGGAAGACCAGUGGCGAAGGCGGAUCUCUGGACAGUUCCUGACACUGAGACACGAAGGCCAGGGGAGCAAACGGG
rnacentral:rRNA from 1 species